rnacentral:rRNA from 1 species
UACGUAGGGGGGCUAGCGUUGUCCGGAUUUAUUGGGCGUAAAGAGCGUGUAGGCGGCCUGGUAGGUCUGCUGUGAAAACUCGAGGCUCAACCUCGAGAUGUCGGCGGAAACCAUCUGGCUAGAGUCCGGAAGAGGAGAGUGGAAUUCCUGGUGUAGCGGUGAAAUGCGCAGAUAUCAGGAAGAACACCUAUGGCGAAGGCAGCUCUCUGGGACGGUACUGACGCUGAGACGCGAAAGCGUGGGGGAGCGAACAGG